CAAAAGGUUACAGAUACACUCGAACGAUCAUUUUUAUGAUUUCAUCACGCGAUGCUGUUUAUGUCAUCAUCGAGAAAAUGAAAAAUAGAUCCCUCUAUCGUAUAGAUAGUACACACACAAAUCACACAAUGGCCACAACAGGUACGUUUACUAGGUGGCCCAUACUCACAUGAAUGUUUAUCCACGUCUAGAUUAGGUUUCAAACUCUAUCCAUGUACAGUUUCACCAUGUCCGCUAAACAUCAGCCACACACACACACCCCUCCUCGAUUCAGACUAAACGAGAAGGUAUUCAAGGCCCUUACCCUAUUCACUCCUACUCUCUCAUUCCAAAAUUCUUAGUUUGUUUAAAUAAUCAUUUCUUAACCUCAAUUAUUUUUUUUCCUUUCUGUUUUUACAUUU
rnacentral:lncRNA from 1 species